GAGCCCAGACCCAGGAUUCCCAGGUGUCCCCAUUGGGUGACAAGAGAGAACACAGGCAUCUCACCAUGGAGUUUGUGCUUGGCUGGGUUUUCCUUGCUGCUGUUUUAAAAGGUGUCCAGUGUGACGUGCAGCUGGUGGAGUCUGGGGGAGGCCUGGUGAAGCCUGGAGGGUCCCUGACACUCUCCUGUGCAGCCUCCGGAUUCACCUUCAGUAGCUACGGCAUGAGCUGGGUCCGCCAGGCUCCAGGGAAGGGGCUGGAGUGGGUCUCCGGUAUUAGUAGUAGUGGAAGCACAUACUAUGCAGACUCCGUGAAGGGCCGAUUCACCAUCUCCAGAGACAACGCCAAGAACACAGUGGCUCUGCAGAUGAACAACCUGAAAGCCGAGGACACGGCCACGUAUUUCUGUGCGAAGGACACAGUGAAGGUCCAUCAGUGUGAGCCCAGACACAAACCUCCCUGUAGAAGGGGAUCAGCACCACCAGGGGGCGCACACUAUGCACAGUUCUGGUUUAUAUUCCCAGGAGCAGCAACGCCUGCGGAGGCGGUCCUGGCGCCGGUGAGGCUGAGGCUGCGCGAGCAACAGCGGCCUGCUGAGGCGGCGGCGGAGGCGGCGACCCACAGAAGCAGUACCAGCGCCCGGUAUAGUGGCAGCGGCGUGCAACAGUCGCCCUCUGAAGCAGCGGCGGCGCGCUGCAACGACUCGGACUCUAUGGACCUGAAGUUGCUACGGAUGCCUCAAGUAACAAGCCAAACUAACAUGGUGGAGAGUCCCAAAUACGACUACCAGUAG